AUUCUCAACACAGGCUUUUCUAUCAACUUAUCAAGCACGGCUGCAAUGCCACCUAGGACACUUGGGAUUGGUAGAAUAGGGCAGUGGAUGAAAUUGGGAUCGAAAAUAUGACGGUGCAUUUGGAUCAUGAAGGGUAUUAAAGAGAAUGGAUAGGGUGUGCAUAUCACAGGAAAGACGAAUACGGAGACAGUUAAGUGAGCACGAUGGCGAGAGAUGCAUUCAAAUUUUUGCUGGCCAAAAAUGAAUCUUAUGGCAAGAUUUUGGAGUCACUCUAAUUUUAUAAGUAGCUCCUCAGUGACAUCCAGAUAGCAUACAUCAGCAUAAUCAAGGGCAGACAGAAGAAGGGUUUGCACAAGCAUAAUUUUGGAGUCGCUCUAACUUUAUAAGUAGCUCCUCAGUGACAUCCAGAUAGUAUACAUCAGCAUAAACAAGGGCAGACAGAAGAUGGGUUUGCACAAGCAUAACUGAUUUGUAAAGGAAGAGUAUUUUUCUGAACAACAUGGAACUUGAAAUGUUAAUUAACAAUACCACAUUACACAAUUUUUAUUUUA